rnacentral:rRNA from 1 species
UACAGAGGUGGCAAGCGUUGUUCGGAAUUACUGGGCGUAAAGGGCGCGUAGGCGGUCGGGAAAGUCCUGUGUGAAAUCCCUCGGCUCAACUGAGGAACUGCACGGGAAACUGCUCGACUUGAGUUCGGGAGAGGGAAGCGGAAUUCCGGGCGUAGCGGUGAAAUGCGUAGAUAUCCGGAGGAACACCGGUGGCGAAGGCGGCUUCCUGGACCGACACUGACGCUGAGGCGCGAAAGCUAGGGGAGCAAAC